GCCUGGGUGGUUCAGUUGGUUGAGUGUCUGACUUCGGCUCAGGACAUGAUCUUACGGUUCGUGAGUUCGAGUCCCACUUCAAGCU
rnacentral:tRNA from 1 species